UACGUAGGGACCAAGCGUUGUUCGGAUUUACUGGGCGUAAAGGGCGCGUAGGCGGCAAUUCAAGUCAUCUGUGAAAUCUCCGGGCUUAACCCGGAACGGUCAGAUGAUACUGCUUUGCUAGAGUGCGGAAGGGGCAAUCGGAAUUCUCGGUGUAGCGGUGAAAUGCGUAGAUAUCGAGAGGAACACCUGAGGUGAAGACGGGUUGCUGGGCCGACACUGACGUUGAGUGCGCGAAAGCCAGGGGAGCAAACGGG
rnacentral:rRNA from 1 species